UGCAGACACAGAUCAGGAGCAUGGCUGGUCCUGGAAUUCUGGGAACCCAGAGGCUGGGGCCUGUGGUAGAUGUAGUGCUGUGUACAGUGAGCCGUGAUGGGUGGAAAGCAGGCCAUGCUUACAGAGCUGAAAGGGUAUGAGUUCCCAAAGCCAGGGCCUCGGGAAAGCUUUCUGGAUGGGGAUACCAGCACGGUGGCACAUGGGAUUGAUCUGUUCUUGAUCAUAGGGAGGUGCUGGGCAGGUGGGGUUGCUGUAUGUCAGGAUCUUGGCCUCAGAGCCUUGGAAUCCUACUCUUAAGUCUGGAGAGGAGGGAAGGGGCAGGGAUACUGCCCUCUAGAGGGUAGGACAUGAGCCUUAGUCUCCUGCUCCCAGGCUCCCCCUGUUCCAGCCCUGAGGUGCCUUCCCAAGCAGCAGACCUGGACCUCCAAGACAUAGAGGAAGUGAAGGUCUGUGGAGAUGCCUGGCCUGACUCCGAGUGGGAACCCGAGCGGACUCCAGCCUCUCCCAGCCCCCGCAGUCCUGGAGACCGACUGGCCUCAGACGGAAGGGCACUGAGGAGCCUCUUGAAGAAUCUUCCCAGCAUACCCAAAUGUGGGGACAGCUUUGGCCAGGAGCAUAGCUUGGAGCCGUUGACAGGCCUGCCCCCGGGGACCAUGCCUGGCGCCCAGAGAAGAGAUGCCUGGUGCGUGGUGCUUCUGCCGCAAGGGGCCGCGGC
rnacentral:lncRNA from 1 species